GUCUACGGCCAUGCCACCCUGAACAAGCCCGAUCCUGUCUGAUCUCAGAAGCUAAGCAGGGUCGGGCCUGGUUAGUACUUGGAUGGGAGACCACCUAGGAAGACCAGGUGCUGUAGGCA
rnacentral:rRNA from 1 species